rnacentral:misc_RNA from 1 species
CUAUGUACUAAGUAAGUUUAGUCAAAGUUAUAUAUUUUAAAUGUUUUCUUUAACCAUAAUGAUUUACAAUAUAGUUGAAAGGAAAUAUAUAUACUAUGACAAAUGGAACAGUAAAAUGGUUUAAUGAUGCUAAAGGAUUUGGCUUCAUUACAGCUGAAAAUGGAGCAGAUGUGUUCGCACAUUUCUCAGAAAUCCAAAGUAACGGCUUCAAAAAACUUGAAGAAGGCGAAAAAGUUACAUUUGAUAUGGGCGAAGGUCAACGUGGACCACAAGCUACAAAUAUUAAUAAAGCUUAAUUGUAAAGCACUCUUUGGAGUGCUUUUUUU